UACAUAACUUUUACUUGAUUGAUUGAUUAGCUUGAACCCUUGACUUUACAGCCAUGUGCAAAUUAGUAUUGCAGGAAAAUAUGUAAAGACAAAGUGUUCCAUUACAAUAUCCUUGACUCUUGAGAUUGUAAAAUGACUACUAUGAGUAUAAACAUUCUCAGUACUUUUUUUGCCUUGAUUGCUUCUCACAUGAGGAAUGCAAUACUUGCAAUCAAAAUGACAGUACUGCUUACCUUUGCUCUCCGUGGCCUCCCGUGGUCUUUUAAUUGUUCGUUAUUUUUAUUUAUAUAUUGGGUAUUAGAAGGUAAAGGCGCUACUUGUACAUAAGGUAAAAAUAAUAUUU